rnacentral:rRNA from 1 species
GCGACCCCGCCGAGGGCGAAGCCAACCACAGAAAAGACCAUCUCAGUUCGGAUUGUAGUCUGAAAUUCGCCUUCAUGAAGCCGGAAUUGCUAGUAAUGGCAGGUCGGCAUACUGCCGUGAAUACGUUCCCGGGCCUUGUACACACCGCCCGUCACACCAUGAGAGUUGGGAAUACCCGAAGCCUGUGAGCUAACGCAAGAGGCAGCAGUCGAAGGUAGAAUCAAUGAUUGGGGUGAAGUCGUAACAAGGUAGC